rnacentral:tRNA from 1 species
GCCCGAGUAGCUCAGUGGUAGAGCAGCUCAUUCGUAAUGAGCAGGUCAGGGGUUCGAAUCCCCUCUCGGGCU